rnacentral:rRNA from 1 species
CAAUAGCGUAUACUAAUGUUGUUGCAGUUAAAAGCUCGUAGUCGGAUUUCAGUUUAGAAUAGAAUUUCCAGAACGGGAAGACUGUUCUUACUUCUUUGAUAGAAACACUUAUGUUAUUCAUUUAAUGUGAGUUGCGACUGUCUCUUUUACUUUGAGAAAAUUAGAGUGUUCAAAGCAGGUUUAUGCCUGAAUAUUGCUCUUGGAAUGAUAAAAUACGACUUUGGUUCGAAUGUAUUGGUGAUUUGGACCAGAGUAAUGAUUGAUAGGGACGGUUGGGGCUUCACGUACUGCAAAGCGAGAGGUGAAAUUCUUGGACCUUUGUAUGACGAACAACUGCGAAAGCAUUUGGCUAGGACGUUCCCGUUGAUCAAGAACGAAAGUUAGGGGAUCGAAGAUGAUUAGAUACCGU